rnacentral:rRNA from 1 species
GAUGAACGCUGGCGGCGUGCCUAAUACAUGCAAGUCGAGCGAACAGACGAGGAGCUUGCUCCUCUGACGUUAGCGGCGGGCGGGUGAGUAACACGUGGAUAACCUACCUAUAAGACUGGGAUAACUUCGGGAAACCGGAGCUAAUACCGGAUAAUAUAUUGAACCGCAUGGUUCAAUAGUGAAAGACGGUUUUGCUGUCACUUAUAGAUGGAUCCGCGCUGCAUUAGCUAGUUGGUAAGGUAACGGCUUACCAAGGCUACGAUGCGUAGCCGACCUGAGAGGGUGAUCGGCCACACUGGAACUGAGACACGGUCCAGACUCCUACGGGAGGCAGCAGUAGGGAAUCUUCCGCAAAGGGCGAAAGCCUGACGGAGCAACGCCGCGUGAGUGAUGAAGGUCUUCGGAUCGUAAAACUCUGUUAUUAGGGAAGAACAAAUGUGUAAGUAACUGUGCACGUCUUGACGGUACCUAAUCAGAAAGCCACGGCUAACUACGUG